UUACGGCCAUAUCACAAUGAAACAUCGGUUCUCGUACGAUCAUCAAAGUUAAGCAAGGUCGAACCUGUUCAGUACCUAGAUGGGUGACCGCUUGAGAAUACCUGGUUCUGUAAG